rnacentral:rRNA from 1 species
GACGAACGCUGGCGGCGUGCUUAACACAUGCAAGUCGUACGGUAAGGCCCUUUCGGGGGUACACGAGUGGCGAACGGGUGAGUAACACGUGAGUAACCUGCCCACAACUUUGGGAUAACGCUAGGAAACUGGUGCUAAUACUGGAUAUGUGCUCCUGCUGCAUGGUGGGGGUUGGAAAGCUCCGGCGGUUGUGGAUGGACUCGCGGCCUAUCAGCUUGUUGGUGGGGUAGUGGCCUACCAAGGCGGCGACGGGUAGCCGGCCUGAGAGGGUGACCGGCCACAUUGGGACUGAGAUACGGCCCAGACUCCUACGGGAGGCAGCGGUGGGGAAUAUUGCACAAUGGGUGCAAGCCUGAUGCAGCAACGCCGCGUGCGGGAUGACGGCCUUCGGGUUGUAAACCGCUUUCAGCAGGGACGAAGCUUUUUGUGACGGUACCUGCAGAAGAAGCACCGGCUAACUACGUG